rnacentral:rRNA from 1 species
GACGAACGCUGGCGGCGUGCUUAACACAUGCAAGUCGAACGGAAAGGCCCUGCUUUUGUGGGGUGCUCGAGUGGCGAACGGGUGAGUAACACGUGAGUAACCUGCCCUUGACUUUGGGAUAACUUCAGGAAACUGGGGCUAAUACCGGAUAGGAGCUCCUGCUGCAUGGUGGGGGUUGGAAAGUUUCGGCGGUUGGGGAUGGACUCGCGGCUUAUCAGCUUGUUGGUGGGGUAGUGGCUUACCAAGGCUUUGACGGGUAGCCGGCCUGAGAGGGUGACCGGGCACAAUGCGACUGCGAGACGGCCCAGACGCCUACGGGAGGCAGCAGUGGGGAAUAUUGCACAAUGGGCGGAAGCCUGAUGCAGCAACGCCGCGUGCGGGAUGACGGCCUUCGGGUUGUAAACCGCUGUCGCCUGUGACGAAGAGUGAGUGACGGUAAUGGGUAAAGAAGCACCGGCUAACUACGUG